GACGAACGCUGGCGGCACGCUUAACACAUGCAAGUCGAACGAGAGAAGAGAAGCUUGCUUUUCUGAUCUAGUGGCGGACGGGUGAGUAACACGUGAGCAAUCUGCCUUUCAGAGGGGGAUACCGAUUGGAAACGAUCGUUAAUACCGCAUAACAUAAUUGAACCGCAUGAUUUGAUUAUCAAAGAUUUAUCGCUGAAAGAUGAGCUCGCGUCUGAUUAGCUAGUUGGUAAGGUAACGGCUUACCAAGGCGACGAUCAGUAGCCGGACUGAGAGGUUGAUCGGCCACAUUGGGACUGAGACACGGCCCAGACUCCUACGGGAGGCAGCAGUGGGGAAUAUUGCACAAUGGAGGAAACUCUGAUGCAGCGAUGCCGCGUGAGGGAAGAAGGUUUUAGGAUUGUAAACCUCUGUCUUCAGGGACGAAAAAAGACGGUACCCGAGGAGGAAGCUCCGGCUAACUACGUG
rnacentral:rRNA from 1 species